rnacentral:rRNA from 1 species
UACGUAGGGCGCAAGCGUUAUUCGGAAUUAUUGGGCGUAAAGAGCUCGUAGGCGGUUUGUCGCGUCUGCCGUGAAAGUCCGGGGCUCAACCCCGGAUCUGCGGUGGGUACGGGCAGACUAGAGUGAUGUAGGGGAGACUGGAAUUCCUGGUGUAGCGGUGAAAUGCGCAGAUAUCAGGAGGAACACCGAUGGCGAAGGCAGGUCUCUGGGCAUUAACUGACGCUGAGGAGCGAAAGCAUGGGGAGCGAACAGG